rnacentral:rRNA from 1 species
UACGUAGGGUGCGAGCGUUAAUCGGAAUUACUGGGCGUAAAGCGUGCGCAGGCGGUUUUGUAAGCCAGAUGUGAAAUCCCCGGGCUUAACCUGGGAAUGGCAUUUGGGACUGCAAGGCUCGAGUGCGGCAGAGGAGACUGGAAUUCCUGGUGUAGCAGUGAAAUGCGCAGAUAUCAGGAGGAACACCGAUGGCGAAGGCAGGUCUCUGGGCCACUACUGACGCUGAGAAGCGAAAGCAUGGGGAGCGAACAGG